rnacentral:rRNA from 1 species
UACGGAGGGAGCUAGCGUUGUUCGGAAUUACUGGGCGUAAAGCGCACGUAGGCGGAUAUUUAAGUCAGGGGUGAAAUCCCAGAGCUCAACUCUGGAACUGCCUUUGAUACUGGGUAUCUUGAGUAUGGAAGAGGUAAGUGGAAUUGCGAGUGUAGAGGUGAAAUUCGUAGAUAUUCGCAGGAACACCAGUGGCGAAGGCGGCUUACUGGCCCAUAACUGACGCUGAGGUGCGAAAGCGUGGGGAGCAAACAGG